rnacentral:lncRNA from 1 species
CCCCUGGCUCCUGGAGAAGACAUGAAGAAAUUAUCAUAGAGAUUGAGGGGUGCCCUCGAAGGAAAACCUCUUCUCUAAUUAAUAUUUCUUUUUAGGCUUAGCAACCAAUGUAAAGUAGAAAUAGAUCUUCUAGUUUCUACUAGAUUGAGAGAGAUAGAGUGGAGGUGUAGAUUGGAGGAAGCCCGGCCUGUUGGUGUCUACUCCAAGCUUGUACCUGCGGGAUCAAGUUCUCCUAACCCGAAGCUUGCUCCUAGGAUUCUUCAGUAUUUCGAC